rnacentral:lncRNA from 1 species
GGGAAAAAAAAAACAAAGGAAGGAAGAGAGAAAAGAGAAUGAGAGGAAGAGAAGGAAGGGGAAAAACAAGAUUGACUUUACAGUAUGAGAUAUACUAUUAUAUAUUGGACCCUUGGUGGGCAGUGCCUAAACAGAGACAACUACAGGUUUCUGGCUGUGGCCACUCUCUGGUGAAACUAAGGGGUUUCUGUGUGGAGGUGCCUAACAGCCACCGUCCAGUUUGGGUAAAGAAAGCUUUUUAUGGUUCACUAAGGACAAUCAACCCCUUCGCAAUCUAGAACCAAAAGACUGGAUCUUCUGAGAACAUCUACUGUAAGAACUAUAGUUACACAACAGACUUUGAAUUCUCUUGUGAAAGUUAAGGUAGAAUUGGCUGAACAGAGGAGUAUCUGUGCGGCUGCUGGCAUUUGUGGCUUAUGGAGAAACACAUUAAAUGAAGAUUACAGAGAUUCAUUGGCAGGGGAUUAACAGAGAUUGCUUAAUUAAGUGAGUAGGCUCACUAUCUAGCUCAUUCUUUGAUCUAUUUGAUUUUAGGUGGUUUGGUUUAUGGGGACCCGGGGAAAGAAGCAUACUCCAAACUCUUAGUAUUAUCCUCCCGAUGGUUAUAAUAAUAGUUGUCCUGUUGUGCUGUAUUUUCUGAAAGGUUUUAAAUGCUUGCAUGCAGCCAUCUCUAGAAUGUCAAAUGGUCUCUCUUCAACUGGAAUGACAAGAGCUUAAAGAAACAUGUGACCAUGAGGAAACCAUAAACUAUGAAUAAUGUGUUGAGACCAGAAACCCAAAAUGAUGGUAACUGAGUGGUGCUAAGGCCCUAAGUUUUGGUCACACUCUCACCUAAGUGAGAACUUGACCAAAAAGGAGGGAAGUUUUUAAAACAAAAUUGUGGGAAGUCAUUUGUUUUGAUUGAGUUCAUGCACUCAGCCCCAACAGAUCAAACCAAACCAAAAUGGAGUUGCUUGUGUUAAGACUAUAAGGAAACAGAUACAUUCUAGAACAGACCAUGUUUUGUUUUUCUCCUGCAAAUCUCUGUAACAAACAUUCCUGACAACAUAGGCAUCCACUCCCUGAAGUUCCCAUUAAGUCUUUUAACUAAAUUCACUUCCUCUGGCCUAGAGACCAUCAAGCUUCAGAUGCUCAUGUGACAAGGGUUCCAGCCAGUUCCAGGUGAAGACACCACUCCUAGCCAUCAAGGAACUACCCUGUCUCCACUAGACAGAGAAGGGGCUUACAACAAGAAACCAGUGGAAAUCUCCAGAGGAAAUUUAAACCCCAGAAAAUUCUGUAACUCAGCUCUAUGCUGGAGCCACUCCCACCCUGUAGAGUGUACUUUCACUUUCAGUAAUUUAAACCCCAGAAAAUUCUGUAACUCAACUCUAUGCUUGAGCCCACUCCCACCCUGUGGAGGGUACUUUCACUUUCAAUAAUUUAAACCCCAGAAAAUUCUGUAACUCAGCUCUAUGCUUGAGCCCACUCCCACCCUGUGGAGCGUACCUUCACUUUCCAUAAAUCUCUGCUUUCGUUGCCUCAUUCUUUCCUUGCUUUGUUUGUGCAUUUUGUCCAAUUCUUUGUCCAAGAUGCCAAAAACCUGGACACCCUCCACUGGUAACAAUAGAUAGGGGGAAUAUAGAACAAUUUAAGUAAAAACCAGUUUAGAAGAUGUAUAAGAAUUUUUUCGUUAAAGACUUAAAAGAUGUGCCUUUUUUUAUCUGUGUCCAGGGAAAAAAACACAAAAAUGGGAUAUGAACUUUGUCACAAGGAAAUCUUGAAAUUUCCAAGAAGUGAAACUUUAUUGUAUGCCUUAAACUUUUAGAAGAUAUACUAAAUCCAUAGGUAAUAUUAUAACUAAAUUAUAUAAAGACAGACAAAUCCAAAAUCUGGUUCUUUGAAUGUGUUAAAAAAGAUAGAGUAAGAAACAAUGUACAGGAAAAACAAGCAAACAACAAUGACAAAAAACAAACAAACAAAAACCAUCUCUGAAUCUUACUGAACAGAAAAGAGGAGAGAUGAAAUAUACACGUUAGUAGUUAGAGGAGAAUAAGACCACUCAAUAAGUAGAGUUUGAAACAACAGAAGUUUGCUAGGUACAACCCUAUGGUGAUAGUUAUUUAUUGUGUAUCUAAUUACCCUAAAACUUAGUGACUUAAAUCAGCAACAUUUUCACUAUAUCAGUUUCUGUUCCUCAGAAAUCCAGGUGUGACUCAGCCGUCUCCCUUGGCUCAGGGCCUUUCUUUCUCAGAGCUGUGAUGAAGGUGUCAACUAGGACUGAAAUCAUAUCAAGCCUCAAGUGAGGGAGGAUUUUCAUCAAUGCUCAUCACUUGCUGUUAAGAUACCUUUCUUCCAAAAAAUGCUCACCAUCACUGGCCA